GCCUUCGGGGUGUAGUGGUCAGCACGCUUGACGCGUAACCGAGAGAUCCGUGGUUCGAUUCCCGGCGAAGGCA
rnacentral:tRNA from 1 species